rnacentral:rRNA from 1 species
AGGACCGGGAUGGACACACCGCUGGUGUAUCAGUUGUCUCGCCAGAGGCAUCGCUGAGUAGCUACGUGUGGACGGGAUAAAUGCUGAAAGCAUCUAAGCAUGAAGCCCCCCUCAAGAUGAGAUUUCCCAAUUCAGUAAGAUCCCUCAAAGAUGAUGAGGUAGAUAGGUCUGAGGUGUAAGUAUGGCGACAUACGCAGCUGACAGAUACUAAUCGAUCGAGGACUUAACCUAUUAU